GACGAACGCUGGCGGCGUGCUUAACACAUGCAAGUCGAGCGGUAAGGCCCUUUCGGGGGUACGACGAGCGGCGAACGGGUGAGUAACACGUGGGUGACCUGCCCUUAGCUCUGGGAUAAGCCUGGGAAACUGGGUCUAAUACCGGAUAUGACUCCAUGACGCAUGUUGUGGGGUGGAAAGCCUUGUGCGGCUAGGGAUGGGCCCGCGGCCUAUCAGCUUGUUGGUGGGGUGAUGGCCACCAAGGCGACGACGGGUAGCCGGCCUGAGAGGGCGACCGGCCACACUGGGACUGAGACACGGCCCAGACUCCUACGGGAGGCAGCAGUGGGGAAUCUUGCGCAAUGGGCGAAAGCCUGACGCAGCGACGCCGCGUGAGGGAUGACGGCCUCGGUU
rnacentral:rRNA from 1 species